rnacentral:rRNA from 1 species
AUUGAACGCUGGCGGCAUGCUUUACACAUGCAAGUCGGACGGCAGCACAGAGAAGCUUGCUUCUUGGGUGGCGAGUGGCGAACGGGUGAGUAAUAUAUCGGAACGUACCGAGUAAUGGGGGAUAACUAAUCGAAAGAUUAGCUAAUACCGCAUAUUCUCUGAGGAGGAAAGCAGGGGACCUUCGGGCCUUGCGUUAUUCGAGCGGCCGAUAUCUGAUUAGCUAGUUGGUGGGGUAAAGGCCUACCAAGGCGACGAUCAGUAGCGGGUCUGAGAGGAUGAUCCGCCACACUGGGACUGAGACACGGCCCAGACUCCUACGGGAGGCAGCAGUGGGGAAUUUUGGACAAUGGGCGCAAGCCUGAUCCAGACAUGCCGCGUGUCUGAAGAAGGCCUUCGGGUUGUAAAGGACUUUUGUCAGGGAAGAAAAGGCUGUUGCUAAUACCGACAGCUGAUGACGGUACCUGAAGAAUAAGCACCGGCUAACUACGUG